rnacentral:rRNA from 1 species
AGUUAAGUAAUUAAGUGCAUAUGACGGAUGCCUUGGCAUGUAGAGGCGAUGAAGGACGUAGUAAUCUGCGAUAAGCUUCGGUAAGCUGAUAAACAAGCUAUAACCCGAAGAUCUCCGAAUGGGAAAACCCACCUAGGAUAACCUAGGUAUCUUUAUCUGAAUACAUAGGAUAAAGAGGCAAACGUAGGGAACUGAAACAUCUAAGUACCUAUAGGAAAAGAAAUCAAUUGAGAUUCUGUGAGUAGCGGCGAGCGAAAGCGGAACAGCCCUUAAGCAAUUAAAGAAAAAACUUAACAAGUUGGGAAACUUGACCAUAGAAGGUGAUAGUCCUGUAAAUUAAUUUUCUUUUUUUGUGAAAUCGAGUAGGUCGGGACACGAGAAAUCUUGACUGAACAUGGGGGGACCAUCCUCCAAGGCUAAAUACUCCUACAUGACCGAUAGUGAACUAGUACCGUGAGGGAAAGGCGAAAAGAACCCCGGAGAGGGGAGUGAAAUAGAUCCUGAAAUCAUAUGCAUACAAGCUGUAGGAGCUCUAAGUUUAUCCUCGGAUAAACGGAGUGACUGCGUACCUUUUGUAUAAUGGGUCAGCGAGUUACUGUCUGUGGCAAGCUUAACUUUUAUAAGGUAGGCAUAGGGAAACCGAGUCUUAAUAGGGCGUUGAGUCGCAGGGAGUAGACCCGAAACCGGGCGAUCUAUCCAUGGCCAGUGUGAAGGUAAGGUAAUACUUAUUGGAGGCGCGAACCCACUUAUGUUGAAAAAUGAGGGGAUGAGCUGUGGAUCGGAGUGAAAGGCUAAUCAAGCUCGGAGAUAUCUGGUUCUCCUCGAAAGCUAUUUAGGUAGCGCCUCGUGUAUUACUGUUGGGGGUAGAGCACUGUCUCGGCUAGGGGGUCAUCCCGACUUACCAAACCGACGCAAACUCCGAAUACCAACAAGUAUCAGCACGGGAGACACACUGCGGGUGCUAACGUCCGUAGUGGAAAGGGAAACAACCCAGACCGCCAGCUAAGGUCCCAAAGUAUGAUUAAGUGGGAAACGAUGUGGGAAGGCUUAAACAGCUAGGAGGUUGGCUUAGAAGCAGCCAUCCUUUAAAGAUAGCGUAACAGCUCACUAGUCGAGUCGGCCCGCGCGGAAGAUAUACCGGGGCUAAAUCAUACACCGAAGCUGCGGAUAGAUUCUUUUAUUAGGAUCUAUGGUAGAGGAGCGUUCUGUACGCCUGUGAAGGGGGAUUGUGAAAUUCUCUGGAGGUAUCAGAAGUGAGAAUGCUGACAUGAGUAACGAGAGAAAGGUGAAAAACCUUUCCGCCGAAUGAUCAAGGUUUCCUGUCCAACGCUAAUCGGGACAGGGUAAGUCGGUGCCUAAGGCGAGGGCGAAAGCCGUAGUCGAUGGAAAACAGGUUAAUAUUCCUGUACUUCCUAUUAUUGCGAUGGAGUGACGGAGAAGGCUAUAUCAGCAGGGCGACGGUUGUCCCUGUUUAAGGUUGUAGGCCGGUGUUUUUGUUAAAUGCGGAACACCUUUGGCUGAGAACUGAUGACGAUCGACUCUUUGAGUCGAGAAGUGAUAAAUGCCAUGCUUCCAGGAAAAACUUCUAAGCUAUAGAUAUUAGGGAGCCGUACUGUAAACCGACACAGGUGAUCAAGUAGAGAAUACUAAGGCGCAUGAGAGAACUUGGGUUAAGGAACUAGGCAAAAUGGUACCGUAACUUCGGGAGAAGGUACGCCUCUAUUACGUGAAAGAACUUGCUUCUGGAGCGGAAAGAGGUCGAAGAUACCAGGUGGCUGCGACUGUUUACUAAAAACAUAGCACUCUGCAAACACGUAAGUGGAAGUAUAGGGUGUGACGCCUGCCCGGUGCCGGAAGGUUAAUUGAUCUGGUUAGUCCUCGGACGAAGCUAGUGAUCGAAGCCCCGGUGAACGGCGGCCGUAACUAUAACGGUCCUAAGGUAGCGAAAUUCCUUGUCGGGUAAGUUCCGACCUGCACGAAUGGCGUAACGAUGGCCAUACUGUCUCGACCCAGGACUCAGUGAAAUUGAAUUUGCGGUGAAGAUGCCGUAUACGCGCGGCAAGACGGAAAGACCCCGUGCACCUUUACUAUAGCUUCACACUGGACUUUGAAUUUAUAUGUGUAGGAUAGGUGGGAGACUUUGAAGCAGGAGCGCUAGCUCUUGUGGAGUCGACCUUGAAAUACCACCCUUAUACAUUUGAGGUUCUAACUCAGUCCCGUAAUCCGGGACGAGGACAGUGUGUGGUGGGUAGUUUGACUGGGGCGGUCUCCUCCUAAAGAGUAACGGAGGAGUACGAAGGUAACCUCAGCACGGUCAGACAUCGUGCAAUGAGUGCAAUGGCAUAAGGUUGCUUAACUGCGAGACUGACGGGUCGAGCAGGUACGAAAGUAGGUCAUAGUGAUCCGGUGGUUCUGUAUGGAAGGGCCAUCGCUCAACGGAUAAAAGGUACGCCGGGGAUAACAGGCUUAUACCCCCCAAGAGUUCACAUCGACGGGGGUGUUUGGCACCUCGAUGUCGGCUCAUCACAUCCUGGGGCUGGAGCAGGUCCCAAGGGUAUGGCUGUUCGCCAUUUAAAGUGGUACGCGAGCUGGGUUUAGAACGUCGUGAGACAGUUCGGUCCCUAUCUGCCGUGCGCGUUGGAGAUUUGAGAGGAGUUGUUCCUAGUACGAGAGGACCGGAAUGAACGAACCUCUGGUGUUCGGGUUGUCACGCCAGUGGCAUUGCCCGGUAGCUAUGUUCGGAAAGGAUAACCGCUGAAAGCAUCUAAGUGGGAAGCCUACCUCAAGACCAGAUCUCCCUGAACCUUCGGGUUCCUAAAGAGCCGUUCAAGACUAGGACGUUGAUAGGCAGGAUGUGUAAGUGCUGUAAGGCAUUGAGCUAACCUGUACUAAUUGCUCGUGAGGCUUAACUUU